GAGGCUUUAGCUCAGUUGGUAGAGCAUCUCCCUUUUAAGGAGAGGGCCGUUGGUUCGAGUCCAACAAGCCUCA
rnacentral:tRNA from 2 species